CAGAAGACCUCUAGGCCUUCAUGACCCAGAAGAGGCACCAUUAAUAGUGGAAUUGCAGGUAUCACAAAAAUACUGAAGAAUGGAUAGGAGAAGGAGAAACAGCCCAAGUGAAAGAUCCAGCACAAGUGCAUGGAGCCUACAUGAUAGUCAUUCGCCAUGACUGAGGGAAAUUCACUCUUUAAAUAUGCACUGAGGAGACUUCUGUUCCCAGGAAGAUGAAGUAGACAUCCUUUUUCCUAUUUCUGCCACUAAAUAAAGCUAAAAACUCUGGACAUUUUGUAUAAAACAAACAUAUGAAGCUUCGGAAAGUUGGAAAGAAGACAGAUCGGCUAAGGACCUCAUGACCAGUAGAAAGACAUGGUAGUGAAGUCUCUAGAUUUUCUUUUUGCUUCAUAGGUCUCUGGUCAGGUACUGGAGAAGCUAGCAAUCCAGAAAUUCCAAUGGGCUUGGACACAGUCACGGGCCAGUGGAGAACACGUGGGGAGUCUGGACUUCCACUCGCUCCCACCCAGUAGCUACAAGGUACCUCACCCCCAGGGUCAGUGGAGGGCACGUGGAG
rnacentral:lncRNA from 1 species